rnacentral:rRNA from 1 species
UACGAAGGAUGCAAGCGUUACUCGGAAUUACUGGGCGUAAAGCGUGCGUAGGCGGUUUGUUAAGUCCGUUGUGAAAGCCCUGGGCUCAACCUGGGAAUUGCAGUGGAUACUGGCGAGCUAGAGUGCGGUAGAGGAUGGUGGAAUUCCCGGUGUAGCGGUGAAAUGCGUAGAGAUCGGGAGGAACACCCGUGGCGAAGGCGGCCAUCUGGACCAGCACUGACGCUGAGGCACGAAAGCGUGGGGAGCAAACAGG